GUCGAAUAGCGCGGUGUGUAGUUGAUGAAAAUAAACCCUCGCGCCUGAUCAAUGAUGUGAAACAGGGGGUUCCAGUCAAACAUUGCCAGCAUAAAACCGGGCAGUGUGUUUGCCAGAAACAUCUUGCCCGAGGCGAUCAUGUUGGCGCGCUG
rnacentral:ncRNA from 1 species